rnacentral:sRNA from 1 species
UGAUCCUAUAUGCGACUUAUUUCUUACGAUGAGAUUCCAAUUUUCUCCACGAAAGUGGAGG